UUGAGAAUACACUUGUCCCCCUCCCCCCUCUCUUGUUGCGCUUUCAUUUGGAAAAAUCAAGCCUUAUCUCUAGGGUGUAAUUUUAUAUGCUUAGUCAAACUACCCGUGCCGCUACGGUCUCCAGUAUACCUAUGAUCAAGUAAUUUCCCACAAGUUUUACACUUAGCCUUGUCGUGCUCUCUUACUUGAGUAAAAAAAUACCAAACUAAUGAUGUUUC
rnacentral:lncRNA from 1 species